ACACGACUACAUUAGAUACCCGUGUAGUCCUAGCCGUAAACGAUACUCGCUAGGUGUCGGCCACGGUGCGACCGUUGUCGGUGCCGUAGGGAAGCCGUGAAGCGAGCCACCUGGGAAGUACGGCCGCAAGGCUGAACUUAAAGGAAUUGGCGGGGGAGCACAACAACGGGUGGAGCUUGCGGUUUAAUUGGAUUCAACGCCGGAAAUCUUACCGGGACCGACAGCAACAUGAAGGCCAAGCUGAAGACUUUGCCGGAUUAGCUG
rnacentral:rRNA from 1 species